rnacentral:tRNA from 1 species
GGUAAGAUGGCUGAAUGCUUAGGCGGUGGGCUGUAGACCCAUAUAUAAAGGUUCAAAUCCUUUUCUUAUCA